rnacentral:rRNA from 1 species
GACGAACGCUGGCGGCGUGCUUAACACAUGCAAGUCGAACGGAAAGGCCCUGCUUUUGUGGGGUGCUCGAGUGGCGAACGGGUGAGUAACACGUGAGCAACCUGCCCUUGACUUUGGGAUAACUUCAGGAAACUGGGCUAAUACCGGAUAGGAGCUCCCGCUGCAUGGUGGGGGUUGGAAAGUUUCGGCGGUUGGGGAUGGACUCGCGGCUUAUCAGCUUGUUGGUGGGGUAGUGGCUUACCAAGGCUUUGACGGGUAGCCGGCCUGAGAGGGUGACCGGCCACAUUGGGACUGAGAUACGGCCCAGACUCCUACGGGAGGCAGCAGUGGGGAAUAUUGCACAAUGGGCGGAAGCCUGAUGCAGCAACGCCGCGUGCGGGAUGACGGCCUUCGGGUUGUAAACCGCUUUCGCCUGUGACGAAGCGUGAGUGACGGUAAUGGGUAAAGAAGCACCGGCUGACUACGUG